AGGGUUGUUGUUCAUUAUGAUCUUCCGCUGUGGAGUUGUGUGCAAUGAAGAUAUUGUACAUAGUUCUUAGAUUUUUAUUGUUUAGGCAUUAUUGUAUAACAUGUUCCAUUGAUGUUUUAGUUUGGACAUGUAUACAUAUUGAUGCCAUUAGGCACUUAUGUUGUGACAGUACCAAAAUUAACACUUGUAUGAUAUUAUUCUAGAUAUA
rnacentral:lncRNA from 1 species